rnacentral:lncRNA from 1 species
GUGGGGGCCCCGUGUCAAAAAGAAUCUAGGAACCACCACAACACUGCUACUCUUUCUUCCACUCCUCAUAGCUACUGCUUUCAUUUCUUCCUUAUGGAAUUCUGAUACUGUAAGCAAUACCAACUUACAGCACUUGUUUUAAUUUUUCCUGCACAGAUAUAUUUCAAUUGAUUAUGAUCGAGUUAUUUGCCUUUUCGAUUAUUUUGCAGUCUAAUUUUUCUGUUCACAAUAUCUCAAGAAAUAAAACGGUGAUUAUAGUAUCCCGAAAGCCACAAAACCGGCCACCAAAAAGAAUCACAACCCCACUCAAUUGUGUCAAAAACCAAACCCAAACUUGCCCAACAAAUUACCCCAAAACAUCUCAAACACAAGAAUCAAUUUCAGAUUACUCAAUACCACCCACAUCCACAUGCCCAGAUUACUUUCGGUGGAUCCACGAAGAUCUAAGCCCCUGGAAAGUCACAGGAAUCACAAGGGACAUGUUAGAAAGAGCCAAUCAAACGGCUCAUUUUCGUCUAAUACUCGUCAACAACAAAGUAUAUAUCCACAAGUACAAACAAUCAAUACAAACUAGAGACGUUUUCACCAUAUGGGGCAUCUUGCAACUCCUUAGAAAGUAUCCCGGAAGAUUACCGGACUUGGAGCUUAUGUUUGACUGCGAUGACCGCCCCGUCAUCCGAUCACGCGACUACAGCGGGCCAAACAACAAGGGCCCACCUCCGUUGUUUCGGUACAGUGGUGACAGGUGGACGAUGGAUAUAGUGUUUCCUGAUUGGUCCUUCUGGGGAUGGUAAUGACUUCUUCUUCUUCUUCUUCAUCUUUUUGUUGCUCUCUCUUUUGAUUGCUGGUUGCGUGUUGCGUGUGUUUUUGUUUUCGCAUGGAAAUUGUAGAAUGCAUGCAUGUGAGGGACUUAAAUCGACUUGGACUCUAGCUACCAUCGUAGGCCACGUAGGGUAGAAGCAUACUGUAAUUCAUUUUGUUUUCU